UUUCUGGCAUCUUUCUUUACUAAAGACCGUACAUUCAAGAAAAAUACAGCUUUGCACCAUGCAGUGGGUAGCAGUGUACGUGCUCCACAAGAUGGAACGCAGUAACUUGCCAAAACUCCUUCGACAAAACCUUUCAUACAUUACCAUCUCGAAGGAUAAGGGCAGCAGAUGACUAGGAAUACCACAAGCUGUUUGAGAGGACACGUUCGGAUGAAAAAGGAGCAAGGUGCUGCAGAUGCUAAUCUAUAUUAGGGCCUUAUUGCAAAUGGAUGGAAAUACACUGUGAACAAAUUCAUUUUAUGGCCUUGUCAGAUUCCAUUGUGUGGAUGACUUAAUUGCAAUGUGGGGGCAUGCUUGAAGGUCUACAGGGCGGACAAUCUGCAGGUCACUCCUCUUCCAUUUGUCAUCUGGCCACGAGAGCUAGCAUUAUAUUUUGUUUUAAAUGAAGCUGGCCAGUGGCAGGUGACAUGCAUUUUG